UACGUAGGGUGCGAGCGUUGCCCGGAUUUAUUGGGCGUAAAGAGCUCGUAGGCGGUUUCGUAAGUCGGAUGUGAAAACUCCAGGCUCAACUUGGAGACGCCAUUCGAUACUGCGAUGACUUGAGUCCGGUAGGGGAGUGUGGAAUUCCGCGUGUAGCAGCGAAAUGCGUAGAGAUGCGGAGGAACACCGAUGGCGAAGGCAGCCCCCUGGGCUAGCACUGACGCUCAGGCACGAAAGCGUGGGGAGCAAACAGG
rnacentral:rRNA from 1 species